GACAGAGGGGGCAAGCGUUGCUCGGAAUUACUGGGCGUAAAGGGCGCGUAGGCGGGAUGGCAAGUCGGUCGUGAAAUCCCUCGGCUCAACCGAGGAACGUCGAUCGAUACUGCUGUUCUUGAGGAUUGCAGAGGAGACUGGAAUUCCCGGUGUAGCGGUGAAAUGUGUAGAGAUCGGGAGGAACACCGGUGGCGAAGGCGGGUCUCUGGGCAAUUCCUGACGCUGAGGCGCGAAAGCGUGGGGAGCAACGGG
rnacentral:rRNA from 1 species